AAUCUAAGCAAAUCUCUUGACUGCUGGAGGUCUGAGUCAUGGUAGUUGAAUGGCUACACUGAUAAUUUGACAACAGAAAAGCACUUUUCUGUGUUUAUAAAAGAUGCUUUGACUUACAGCCCUGCAUCCAGGGAGCCAUUACUUAAUCUAUCAGGCAUCUCAUGAUAUCUGAUGUUUUCACAAGAUCUGCUCAAGUCAGAUGAUUACAUGAAAGACUUAAGUUUUUAUCCUACUUUUUUUUCAGAUCACACAUUGCAAAGAAAAUCAAAUUUUUAAUUUUCAACUGCCUUUUGAAUGUUUAUUGAUGCAAAUGUACUCUAGUGGGAUACAAAGAAUCAAGAAGAAGGAAAAAGAAUGUGAGGUUUUUUUCAAAAUCACACUGUUUUGGGAAUGUUUUCUGUAACUAGUUUUGUGACACUCCCUUCCCCAAGCAUGGAUGGGCAGUAGAUUUGGAGUUAUAUCAGUAGAUUUGGAGUUACAUCAUCCCUAUGUGUUUGAGUAACUCAAGAUAAAUUAAGGAUAGGUUUAGCAUCUUUUUUUGUGUUAGUGUAUUCAGUAGUUUGCAUCCAGACAAAAGGAAAGUCUUUGCUGAGCUCUGGUUUAGAAAUGUUCUCUGGGAGGAUGUCAUGCUAACUAGUGCCUUCCACCACCAUGCCAUCGCUUGCCCUCCACUGAAGCUCACCUGCUCUCCAGCUGAGCCUGAGCCUGCUUAGACCAGGCCUGACCUUAACCUGGCAGCAAGGAGCUUGCUGAAGUACAUUAUAAUGACAAAGGUGCUACAAUAUAUAUUUCAAAUCAAAGAAAAGGGAUGCUGCUCUAGGGUAAUGGUCUCCUGCUGAAAUCCAGUGCCUGCCAGAAGACAUCCUUUCAGCCCUGACACAAGUUACCUGCCAGCCCCAACCCUGAGCCAUCACCAGAGAGAGGUGGAAGGUUCUGUACAUGGCAGAUAGCUGCAGCUACUGUUCACAGGAAAGACACCCAGACCUAACAAGGAGGAUUGAACAAGAUAAGAUCUGCACUCAGAAGCAGCCAGAGACCCACGCAUUACGCUUAUGGGGGAAGAUCACCCACACUGCACAGACGUGCAGUGAGCUUUGGGAGGGAGGAGGCAGUUCAGCAGAGUGUACCAUGGAUGCCCUUGCAUUGUGGAGGAAGGCACAGGCAAUUGGAUUUAACCAGCUGGGUGGAAUUUGAUUUGAUUAGCUUUGGCACAGUUUCACAUACUCUCAAUUCAUCAGUGAAUGGAGUAACUAUAUUGGAAAGCUGCUGGGGAAAAACAACAUUGCCCCUGAUGCUACUGUCACAGGCAGAUAGAGCACAAUCCCAUACAGGCUCCCUCUGUGUUUUCCUCUCUUCAUUGUCUCCCUAGUUCGUUUUUUUGUGCCAGUGUGUGUCUUCCUGUAUCAGGAUUGGCUGCCUUUUCUUGGUCUGAGAUCUUGGCAUGUAAAGAGCAGUAAUUACUCCAUGACUUGACUAUGAGCAAGGGUGGGAGUGCCCCCUCUUGAACAAUAAAACCCCUUGUAGAGAAAAGCCUAACUAAACAAAACAAAAUGUGUAAAACCAGGCAGUGCUGCCACAAAGCACUUUGCAAGCUAGAGAGUCUAUAUGGAGUAUGAAUAAGAGCCUACUGUGUUUUAGUCUGUCCUGCCUGUGAAAGAUCCCAUUCUAUAAAGGGGUACGUGUUACUCUCUUCUCAUUUCAUACAAGUCUAGGCAAAUACAACUUCUUUAGUUUCAAUGAAGCUGUGCCUAAUUCUCCACCAAGAAUGAGAACUGAACCAGGCCCAGCAAUUCAGGACAGCAUGUUCAUACAAAGCCAUCUUCUCCCAGAUUCAUCUUGAAAAAAUAACAUCCCCUACUUUUAUCAACUGUCAAUACCUCGUAAUUUUGAGUAUCAGUUGUGGCCGCUCACAGUUAAAAAUAUUUUUGUGUAGUAUGAGCUUACAAGUCCUGUAAUAUGAGCUGAUAAAGGGUAAUAUGCAAGUGAUUGAAGUCUUUUGAAACAUGGCUCACCAGAAGAUCAUGUGUUUAUCAUGUGUCAGGCUGAGCUCUCUGUAUGAAGAAGAAUAUGAGGGAAGUUUAUGGCUUUAUCUUACAGCUCCCCAGAAGACCAUCCUUUUAAAGCAGAAUUAAAAAAAGCGUUUUGUUUGAAGGAUAGAUCUGAAGUUAUAGGUUUCAGAGACAGAGAAUCAAGCUAAAUAUGGUGAGCUGUACAGAUGAAUCUCAAGAAUUAUUCCUGUGAAACACAUUCUCAAGCUAAGUUCCCCUAAGUAUUAACAUCUGUCUUGAGUGAAAAUAGACUUUCAUCAGUUAAUUUUCAAAUCAAGAGGUGAAAUUAAAAAGUGAGAAAAUUCUCAGUAUGAAAAUUAAAUUGAAGCACCCAAGUUUUCUAUUGAAAAGUGUCCAGGCAUGAGCCUUUUUGAUUUUUAGCAGGGUACUACAAUUGUGAAUACCUGUAGGAACUCAAUUGGGACUGCAGAGAGGCAAAAAAGUCCCAUGUAUAUGUCUAGAAAGUACAGAAAAUGGAAAUAUGGAUCUUCAAGGUAAAGAACUAAAAUUAAUUAAUGUACUUAACAAAUGAUCAACAGAUAUGUAAUUUUGAGUGUGUACUUCUUACAGAUUUUGUUCUACUUCCUCAGGUCCUAUGUGGAAUUAGGCAGGACAUUUGCCUUUGAAAAACAAUGCAAGAUUGAAAACUAUACAUGAAAAAAAGGCCAAAAGAUUUUAUUGUGAAUUCUGUCCACCAUCAGUGGUCAUUGAUACCAAUGUUCUUUGAGUAGAAAGGCUUCAAAAUCAAUAAAAGUAAUUAAAACAUUUUCUCUUUGUAUUCCGGAGUUCUUUCCCUCUCAAUGAAAAAGUAUCCAGGACAUAAACAAGCCUACAGAAAUAAAAUAGAGGCUUCCAUGUCAACAUUUAAAAAUUUCCCCUCAAAUACAGCAAAACCUGGCACAAUCCUUAGAUUAAGUUUCUGUUGGGGAAAGGGGGGGAAGAAGAAAGUUUUCUCCUUCAAUCAGAUGAAACUCAUGGGUUUUUGUUAUCACAUUUAAACUACAAAACCACAGAGACAGGACUAAUGACUGUUUUAUUUUUGAGAAUAACCACCCAGAGAUUUGCCCACAGUUAAGGAACCCAAAUUCAUUUUUCUGCUCCAUUGCAGACUGUGCAAGGCUUUUGAAAACCAUUUAACCCCUAUAUCUCAUAUCCCUUUCAGUGAAUGGGCAUCAUAGAACCUCACUAUAUGAAAGGGUUUUUUUUAAGACUAAAAUCUUCAAAACAGCAAGUUGUUCAUGUGUUACAGGAAGGGAGGCAAGUAAAUAAAAUGGAGAGAUUACUCAGUAAUCACAGAUGUGCUGUCCUCCCAUGAUGCUCCUGACAUGACCACCAACACUGCAGGAUGCAGGCAGUGCCUAAACCAUCAUUAAAUUAUUAAAUUCUUGUCUGUUGUAAUACAUUUUUCCACUUGUGUAGCUUAUUAACUUUGCUGUCACCAUCACUCAAGAAGCAGAUACAUCAGCUGAUAGAAAAAAAAUGCCAACGUGAGGAUAGCAAGUUCAUAGGUUAAAAAAGUCUUUCCUCUAUAAAUAGAGUUGGUAUAAAUCACAAGAGUCUGCAAAAUGGGCCUGGGAAAAUUAGCUGCUGACCUAAAAACACAUCCUGUUGGCUGUCUGGGAAUCCAUUUCACACAGUUAAAAGUGGCAAGAAUUAAAGCAGCUAAAGAAGCAGGAUUUUGUGGUGAAAUAAAAAAUAAAGUGUCCUAGCAAUCAUGAAAAUAACACCAAGUGCAGCCAAUAAAAAUACAAUUAUACUAUUGUGCAAGUAUUCUAAACAAUCAAAAGGCAAAAAGAGACAUACUUUUGAAACUCUUAAUGAGGAAGUAAUUAUUAUAUGUUUUCAGUGUCCUGCAGUCCUUGUGGCAGCUCUGGAAUUUCAGCAGCUGACCAGCCAGCAGGCCCCAUGACCUGCAGUUGCAUCUGGCAAUGUGUGGUUAAAACAGGGAACUCAGUACAGCCAUUUCUGUAGGAAACUGCUGACUAACAUUGGGAAGAAUCUAGUCAAUUUGAAUUAUACUUCAAAUUAAAGAGAAUAUAAUUAAUGAAGACAUUUUUAUCUCAAGUAAGGAACUAGCUUGCUGUUUUUCAUUCAAAGUUAAUGCUACCCUUCACUGCUGGAACUCUUCAGCUAACACUUCACCCAAGUGUCCUCUGCUGUCACUCAAAAAAUGCCCCUUAGGGAGUGCUUCAGGAAAUAAAAUCAGUGCAUUGAAACAGGUAUUUUCUUAGGCCCAGCUCAUUGCAUCACCAGGUUUAUUGCAGCAUACUUCUGUCGUGCUCAUGCAUGUGACACUUCUGUAACACCAAUUAAUUCAGGGAUGAGUGUCUCUUUACUUUAAAGCUACUUAACUGGAAAUUAUUUGGAGACACCAGAUUUUUGCAUUCCAGGAACUUUGAACUGUCACAUAAUUUGACAAUUAAGGUCUAAAGAGUACAUAAAAACAUAUAACAAGAUAUGACUAUAAAUUUUAGCCCUCUAGAUAAGCUUAGCUCCAAACAGAAAAGAAAGGUCUCCUCAAAUUCAUUUUGAAAACCAGAAAAUAUCUUGUGUAACGCAGGACAGAAUAUCUGUCUAUAAGCAUAUGCCCAUUUUCUUAAAAUUUUGUAGUAAAACUCCUAAAAUUGCAGAAUUACCUUUCCAAUAAAUGUCAAAAACACAUCAAAAAAUACUUGUUUGUUUCUGUAAUCUCUCAGUUAAAAUAAUUUCUAAUACUGGGUGAGUUACAUGAAUUAUAAAAUUUGGUACAAGAUUGCAAAGCAAACUUUCUUCUUUGGAGUGCUUAGGCAACUCAGGUCAGAUAUUUGCAGCUGCCCCUUAAAGUCUGAAGACCAGUGAAAUGCAAUCUUUGGACUCUAAUUAUGUAUUCAAGCUUACAAAGUCUCUAACCUCAACCUUAAUUGUCUUUGUCCAAAAUAAAGUUGCCAAAGAUACAUCUCACUGUUUUUAAUAUGGUUGGAUUAUCCAUAAGCAGAAUACAGUAUUUUGUCUGAGUCUGUUAAUUGGUUUCAUAAUUUCCCCAGUUGUUCAGACAGAGUUAUUUUAAGAUUUCACAGCUGGUAUGGGAUUGCCUACAUAGCUAAAAUAUGUGUCUUGGUAAUGGCUAAUAUUUCUAAUCAAAUAUGUCUUGGUAAAGUAUUUAGGUUCAGGAUAAAUCAUGCUGCUGCCCACAGUGUAGCAAACAAAAGGAGAAAAAAUUAUACAUGAUGUCAUGCAAAAUAAAUUUUCUAUAAUUCAUCUAGAGCAUUAGGGCUCCAAGACUCUUUGAGUUAGAUCUAUACCCUUAAUCAUGCAUAAUCCCAUUGAUAAGAGUUUUAAAAAGUGCCAAAAACAAAACAAAAAACCUAAACCAGCUUUGCAGAGCUAAACUUCCCAGAACAUCGACUGGGAGAAGUAGAAAUACAACCACUGAGUAAACUGCCUCACUGCAAGUGCUCACUCUUCAAGAUAUCCUGCUUUUAGAUGUGCUUAAACUUAAUGUACAAUUUUGCAGGUGCCAUCAAAGCAGUAAAUGUGUCAGGGGCCCGUGUAGAACAGUGCAUCACUAGAAACUGCAUAGUAGAGUCUGUCCCAAGGAGAGUUAAAUCACUCUGGCCCAGUGGCUGCAACACUUGAACAAAUGUACGGGGAUCAUUUCAGAAGGGAUUCUUGCCACUCUGAGCUUUGGAGGUAAAGGCCUCCUUUCCAGUGAAAGUAAACAAGAUCCAACAGCCUAAGUUUCACUUACAUCACUGAAAAUCUCAGUUUACUACAGAUGCAUCCAAUAUGCAGAACAUCUUCCAGAUCCUACUAAGGGCACACAGUCCUUCAAAAUGGCCAACACUUUCAAAACUGCCCCCCUUUCCUUUCCAUGGGACCAGCACAUAACCAGAGGAAGGAAGAUCCUUGUCUGCAAUUCCUUCUCUAUGCACACGAGUUGGGAACUUUUGCUGCCCCGAUGAUAGUUUCUCAAUUUUUAUAUUCAUCUCCUCAAAAACACAAGAUAUACCGACACUCACUCUGAAUCGUGUGUUCUCUGUUAUAAAACCAGCUGUCCUGAUCUCUCACAUGCAGGAUCAUGUCUGUUCCCCUCUGCCCACAUUGUUAUUUGUAUGGCCAUACAGGAAGCUCAAUCAGCCUGUUCUGCUUGAAGCUAAAUCAGGCAAAGUUUUCAGCUAGUGUCUAACCCAGCUUACCAUGUAAUUGUGCUAACAUUAUUACUGGCUCAGGAGAAGCAGUGGAAAUAUGUGACUGGGGAAAGACAGGACUGUUUUUCUGGGUCACAGUCUCACUCAAGGGGCUUAAGUGACUGAGACAGCAGCCUAAAUUUGGGAAUCAUCUCCAAGAGCAAAUGUAUCUCAUGAAUCCUCCCUAUCACUACUCCUAUAUUGCCAGUUGCUUUUGCAGGACAUUUCAAUGUUUUUUCUAAGAUGCUGAAAUAAAAACAGGAGAGGAUUUUUAAUCAUGUGAAUUUGAUUAGUGCCAGACAACUGUAGCUUCAGCAGUUUAUCUGAAAUCUUCCACUGUGCUGUUCUCUUUGUUUUGGUUAUAUCAUUUGCUUCCACUUCAAGAACCUAGAACAUCAGACAGCAUUGCUGAGCACAGACCAAGAAUCAGAAAUAUAUAAUACAGAUGCUGAAACCAGCACUGGCUUUUUAUUAAUCUGUUACAUUUACCUAUCAUGUUGGAAAUAAUAAUUUCAAAUUACCUGAUUUCACAAGCACAGUUGCUGGAUCUCUGCUGGUGCAAUACUUGAAAUAUAUUUUUGAGAAAGAGAUGCAAAGUUUUCUGCUGUGCCAAAGGAAAAUUAGAAUUGUAAUGUUCUAAUUACAAAGAACAAAGGAGGAGUUAUAUAUUUUUUGACAAAAUAACAAUGUUCAUGGAAAUGAGCAGUUAUAUAGCCAAGUGAAACUUAAUCUCUUUUCAUGCUGCUUCUCAAAAAGAAAAUAUUAACAGCUACUGCACAAUCAUUCACCCACUCCAACAUACUAUUAGUUAGACAAUAUGUGAAAACUGCAAGCUACCUUAUUCUACUUCCAAAGUUGUAACGUCAUGCUAAUCUUAACUUCUAGGAAUCUACUUGAACGUAAGAGGAGCUAAUACAGAAGGUUUAGAAGGAUUUUAUCUGGCUGUUACCUUCACAAAACCAACAAAAGUAUGUUACAUCAGGAUAUAACAAAUUAUAAUAAAUUUGAGGUGAUUUACCCUUUGAGGAGGGGUGUACAAAUGCAAGGCUCUCUCAGUUCUUCCUAACUUCCUUGGUGAUUACAGAGUAUUAUUUGUAUGUGAAGCACUGGCAUGGGAGUCCUAGAAAAUUAAUUUUCACACAUUUGGAGAACAGUCAUGGCCUGGAAGAAUUAAAUCUUAGCUUCCUUGCAACUGUCUCAAAGUUUACUGAAUUUUACCCGAAAUAAGAGAAAAAUUAUUCCUUCAUUUCUUGAAGUCUAGGUUAAGAAUGGAUAGUUUUAGUUCUGAGCAUUUUUGAGAUAAAGGUACUUGUGUAUUGUUCCACAUAGCUCAUUAAUACUUUUAUUUACAGAAAUAGUUCUUUUAUCUUUUACUGUACACAUGUGGGACUUCAGCUAGAAAUAUUUUUAUAGGCAGAGGCCAAAGUUUUUCAGAUUGUGUCCACAAUUUCUAGACCCAGAUAUGAUCCUAUUGGACUUACGCCUUGCCCAUGUCAUUUGGCUGUCAUCUCUAUGUACAUUGAUUUUUCACAUUUCCUGAAAAGUUUACAGCAUUGUAUAUUCACAGCUGUCUAUAUCAAGUAUUCUUGCUCUUUCUUGCCCCUGAAAUCUGGGAAUUCCUACUUUCUUUUCUCUGUCGAGGCAUUCCAGGGACUCUAUUUUCAAAGGAGGGACACAGGCCCUUUUUAGUACCUCUAUUUAUGCAUUUGAGCAUCAUUUAUAUCUUUGAAGCUUCUCUCACCUGCAAUACAUACAGUGAUGAGUAGUGCUGUCAUGAUUAUUGUACCCUGUAUACUCAAGAAAAAAAUUAUCCAUUUGCAAGUGUAAUUUUGGAAUGUCUAUAAAUGUAACUUAAUAGAGAAACAAUUCCUACCUCCACUGUCAAGCUUUUGCUGCAGAACUUGGAAUCUGCGUAAGGCAUAGGUUUACCAACAGCCCUGGGACAUAAAUCCCAACUCAGGCAUAUCCCAAUCCUUUCCCGAAUGCAUGGGAGUCCACCAUCUCCAGUCUUCAUCUUGUUUUUAGGGCAGAUCUCUGGGGAAUACACAGUUGAAGUGAAUUUGCCUCAUUUCUGUACUUAGCUAACAAGUCUGUCAUGGUUUCAGCCCAACCAGCAGCUCAGCUCCACGCAACCUCACUCUCCUCAUGUUGGGAUACAGGACAAAUUGUAAGAGUAAGAGUAAAAAAAGAGAAAAAAACUCAUGGGUUGAGGUAAAUACAGUUUAACAGGUAAAGCCAAAGCUGUGCAUGCAAGCAAAGCAGACAAGGAAUUAAUUCAUCACUUCCCAUGGGGAGGCAGCUUUUCAGCCAUGCCCAGGACAGCAGGGCUCCAUCACACGCGAUGGUGACUUGGAAAAACAAACAUCAUUGCUCCGAACAUCCACCUCUUCCUUCUUCCCCCAGCUUUGUAUGUAGAGAAUGGCACCCUGUGGAGUCAUGGUAUCAGCAUGUGGAAACGCCUUCAGUCAGCUGGGGUCAGCUUCUUGUGCCACCCCAGCCUCCUCACAAGAAGCAGAAAAGGCCUCAAUGCUGUAUCAGCACUGCUCAGCAAUAGCUGAAACAUCUCUGUGUUAUCAGCACUGCUCUCAGCACAAGUCUGAGGCACAGCCACGUACCAGUUACUGUGAAGAAAAUUAACUCUACCCCAGCCAAAACCACCACAAAGUCAAAGAAAGCAAGAUUAAGUCACUCCUACAAAGUAAAAAUGCAUUUUUUACAAAUAACAAAUAGAAUGCAAACCCUCAGACCCCAGUGGUACAAGACAUUAUCUGACUGUAGAACAAGUGGAUUAAAACACUAAGCCUGAAUAAACACAAAACCCACUUCUCUAAUGAGGCUUGAAACAGAAAUGUUGCACAACUGGGAUUCCAUUUUUUCAGAUUGUAUCGCUACACAAGAGCUGAACUAAUGCUGUUCUCAGCUCAAGCGUCUGCACAAUAAAGCUGUGCUAUCUUCACUAACCACCCAACUCAGCAGAGCUCCAAUGUGAUUUACACAAUUUCCUUUGCAAGACUAUCAUCCCCAAGCACUGGACAGGAAGCUUAGGCAACAGACUGAAGUAUCAAGAUUUUACUACUGUUGUAGUAGUUAGACCUUCUUACUUAUCCUUAUUCCUUGUUGGCUAUAGUAGAAAUAGGAAUUAGGUUACAGGUUCAAAGAUUUGAGAUUCUGAAGUCACGGAAGUAAACAUCACAAUGAGAGAUGCAUUAUGCCAUUAACUAAGCAUUACCAAACACACAUUUACUCCAGGCUCCAAGCAUUUAAUGUAUGUUGCACAGGGAAUUGCAUGUGAGAUAUUCUGUUCUGCUCAUUCUCUUAUUUUGAAAUGCAUUUUAAUUUCUUAGUCCUGUUCCUUCAUCACAUAUCCACGGGGAGUAAAGGAAUUACCAUAUAGGAGCAGGCACUCUAACCACCUUCUCUUCUUGUGUUACAGGCAUCAUGGAUAAAAGUUAAAUGGCAUUUGUGGUAUCAGAACAGCUUCCAACAAAAGGGUACCCUGCUCACCUCACUUCAAACUUUCCAGAAUCCAUUUUAUGAAAAGCCAUAAACAGAUGGUAUUUUCAUCACACCCACUGGUCUUUUCAGAUCAGAAGAGACCAGUAGAACAUAUCUAAGGGAUCUUUAAUGUUGUUCUAAUCCUUCUGGGGUUUCACACUCCUGGGCUGUCAAGAAAGAAGCCUUCACUGAUGUUUUAUGUUUGAUUUGAGUUUAGGGGUUUUUUUUUUACUAUAAGAAAAGAGACGAGACAUUACUCCAGUGCAAACCAAGUAUUUUUAGCCAGCCAUAGCAGGAGGCAAGUGUCUUCAUCACUAAUCAAUUUCCUUUAUAUAAUAAAGGGGAAAACACUGCUAAAGAAAGUAUUGAGGUACUGAUGGGUUGCCAGAAGAGACUAACUCAGUAUCUGUGGGAUUUUCUGAGAAAGGAAUAUACAUCUCCAUCUCUUUUUUGGCAAAUAAGGAUCUCAGUUUUGCAACUCUUUAUGGCACUGUUAUUUUCACCAUUGAUCUGAAUAUCCUGAAGUCUAUAGUUAGUGCACAUAUGUGUUGGAACCCUAUUACAUAUGCAAUUUAACUAAAUGGACCAAAAAACCCACACAUUUUUAGGGAUAACUAUUUUAACAGUCCUAUUUCAACAAGCUGGUCUGUUGAAUUAAAGUUAAAAGCCUUUGCUAUCCUACCUCCUAAUGCAAAUCAAUUUACAUAAAGAGAAUGGUGAGGUGCACAGAAACUGCAAGAGCUUAAGGCAACCACUGGUUUCCAGAUGGGAUGGAAUGGGUCAGGUAUAGAGAACUGGAGAAGCAAAAUCCAUAACAGCUCUGUAAAUCAGGAUUUUUUGGUGAGGUACUAGUAAGACUGAAAGGCUAAAUACAGGACAAAAAAUAGGUUUCUGUCAGCACAGAGAACUAAUCACACAUGUCCUAAAAGCUGUCAGCAUCAGUGGCACAUGGUACUGCAAAUGAAGACAAAAAUAUCUUCAAACAUUUUCAGAUAUGCACUGAUAAUUAAUUUAUGUUGUUCACCUGAAUAACAUAACUUUUGAAGUUGACAUCGGGAACCCACAUAAACUAAAUAACUAUCUAGGUUAGACUAGAAAUUUGGGUCAGGGAACUUUAUUGCAAUACACAAUUUGUACAGUAUUCAAAUUUAAACCUCCCUAACAAAGAAAAAAAAACAAAUCUUGUGAAGAAUUUUGAAUCUGAGACUGAUUCACAGGUAACAAUGAAUUCUCAUUUACAUAACAAUGCUGAAAAUUAACUAUUGACAAAAAUCCAACAAAUUUUAACAAAAUAGCUCCACAACACUUUAUAAUAUCCUCCUGGGAUUGUGUAUUUCAGUUCCAAAUGAAUAGCUGACUCAUUACCAAGAGUUGCAGAGGCACACAUUAGCUUAAGCCUUUCUUGUAGUCUUAUGAAAUUGUUCAGCUCUGUAAAUAUCCAUAAAAUAUUUCUACAAUACAUUCAAAAGGUUAGGAACUACUCAGAAAUAACUUUUUACUUAAUGCUAAAUAAGUUAAAAUAUACUACCUGAUAAGGAAGAGUAAAGAGAAACAAAAUAAUCCUUAUCUAGUAUUUAAUGGCCAUGGAUAUCUCUGUACUUCAACUUAAUUAUAUCCAAAUUCACCAAAAUAGAUAUAUUAAGGAGAACAUGAUAUUUGACUAAGCAUACUGCAACAAGGCCAGAUUUUGCCAAAGUCAAGGUUUUGCUGUUUAAAAUGGGAUGUGAAUGAACUUGGAUAUCUCAGUCUUAAGAGCUCCUGAUAUGGCUACAGUUUUGCUCCUGUUAACAAUUUUUUCAGUGCUCACAGAGCUGCUGCUUACACUUAACCUAACCUGAAUGCCUAACACAAACGGAUACCAUCAGGGUUUUCAGUUAGCUUCAAAGCUGCAAAACCUACUUCAUACUUUCAGAUCAAGCUUGGCAUAUGAAGCCAAAAAAACUAUUACUACCCUUUAAAAUUACAUAAUCCAUGCCUGGGAUGUGGCAUGGAUUCAUGGCACAUCUUCUAUGGCACAGAAUGAGGAUCACUGUCCCAGAUGUGUAGGAUGCAUCCAAUUCCUUCUCUGCAAAAGAACUUUCAAUCUCACCUGUCCUGGGAAGUCUUCAGCUACCAUGCUGGUCAGGGUUUGCUGUCUGUACACCAUUAUUCUGAUAAUACCAUCUCUCCUUCCUUACCACAGUUGCUUCUCUGAGGACUUUUUCUUCAAGAUAAAAGUUAAUCUGUCUUGGGAAGGAUCACGAAUUUGUAACAUUGGGCCUGGGUAUAUCUUGCUUAACUGCAAUCAAAAAAAACAGCCCUCUGUUCCUAGCUCCCUUCUGAACUGUUUGUUAGUUUAGUGGAAGGAAAGGGAAUUCAGCAAGAGCAAAUAACUCCACCCUCAGAGUUAUAGACUGCACUACGGAAAUGCUGCCUGCCAUCCCACUGAAAUACAGAACUAGUCCACAGAAAAGUACCUAGAGUUUAGAUUACCACUGUUAGGUAAGAUAAGUAUCACUUCAAGCAAUUAAGAGUUAACUUAUCCAGGAAUCAGGAGAACAGAGAUGGACUUUCUAUACCUACUUCUAUGAACUUCUCCCUUUAACGUAAGCAGUCAUGUAUUGUGUAGAGAACUUGUACACACUGAGAGAUCCAACUACCAGAUUUGGGACCAGAUAUCUAAAGUUUAGACAUGCAACAAUUUACUGGACCAUUCAGUAUCAGGUCCUUAACGUAGGGCUGUUUCCCAUAGCAGGUUCACAAAUGCCAUUGCAGUUUUCCUGGGCACCAUCAGUGUGGGAUGCUCUUCAAGGUUUUCACCCUCUAGCACUUCUGCAGUGAUGAGGCACAAGUAAAUCUGCAGGCCAAGUUCUGGCUGUGCACCAACUCUGCUCUUCAGGCAGGUCUGCUCCUCUCAUCCCUGCAUAUACUCAGCUUCACAAACAUUGAAAGAGAACCAGCUCUAGCACUCCAGACUAAUUUUGUACCACUGCUACUGAAUACUGAGCUAAGACAGUAGGCACAACUAUUUUUUCCAGCCCCCUUGUUGCAGUAUAUUCCUUAAUUUUGCCUGUUUUCUGCUGGAUUAGGUUUUUUUUGUUGUUGUUGGUUUAGUUUGGUUUUUUUGUUGCUGUUGUUUGUUUGUUUUUGGUUUUGGGGGGGUUUUUUGGUGGGUUUUUUUUUGUAGCUUAUAUGCUACAAGAUCUAGCUAUGUUUUCUGCUACAAUUAUUGACUGACUUGAGCAAACAAAACCUGCUGAUCUGGCCUUAAGUUCAUACCCGAUGGCGUAUCAGCUACACUCCCUGUAUUUUUUAAUAUCUUUCAUCCUAAUUUAUGUUGCUAAAGAAUCAAAGCAGAUGAAUUCAUUAGGAAUAAAAUCUUUAACCACAUUUAAAUUUAUUAUUUAGCCACUGUCCUUAUGAUUCUAUUCAUUUGACAAGCUUAUUUCCUUAUCAAGUAUGUAUUUAAAAACAAAGCUGCUGUCCUGACACCACUUCUCUACAUUAUUGCAAAGUUAAUGUUGUAUUUUAAUAGGAUUAUUUUAUAUCAGGAAUUCCAUUUAGUGUGUUUCAUUUUGCUGGGCAUCUGUCCAAGAUCCCAGAUAACUAAUCUCUAAAAAGUGACCUACAUACUUAACCAUUGUCCCGUUCAUAAGUGACACUAAUUGACUCAUAUUUUCUGUUUGAUCUAUACACCACUUCUCUCAUGCAAUUGCAUAAAUCCCUGUACUUUAGUAAUUUUUUUUUAAUUUAUGAAGAUGUUCCAAGAGUAAUUCAGACAGACAAGACUAUCCCAUAUCCUAACCAAAAUUUAAGUUUAUGUGGACAUUGUUAAUCAUGCUUUCCUUUGUCCUAAAUAUAGUCUUUCUGCAGUGCAUAAUGAAGCCAUGAAUGCAUUAGGUUUAUUUACUUACAAUUUCAGCAGAGGCAGGCAUCAGAAUCAGAUUUGUUACAUAAUCUGCUGUAAACUGACUCUUUCACAUUCUUUAGACUGGCUGGACAGCUAUAUUUUGUAUUUUCAAAACCUUUACAGGGGACAGAGGAGCAUGUGAGGAAAUGCUUUGGCCAGAUAUAAAGUUUGUUAUGAAACUUCAGAGUAGAGCUUUGAUAAUUUUAUUAUGGGAGCGCCCUCUUCUUGCUUGAAGGAAGCAUUUCCUUCCUUCAAGUUUUAGCAUAUGCCUUUAUUUUUCCUUGGUACACUUGAAAAAGCUCUUGGACAUUUCUAUAGCUGUUCCCUUAGUGUUAAGUGUGCAUUAAAAAGAAUAACAAGUUCCCUUGCUACAAGUGGAAGCUGACCAUCUUGCUAGAGAAAAUUUGAAGUUUGUUACCUAGAGGCACCUAGGCUCUGCUAGAAGAGUCAUCACUCUGAGAAAAAAAAAAAACAACUUAGACAAACAAACUAAAAGGAGCCAAUAAAAAGUGAUACUUCCAGAAAUACUAAUAACUUGAGCAAGUUCUGUCACAUGUUUUGGGCAAAUGAGCAGUAGAAAGCAGAGGUUCUGUUGUCAUUUACAAAGGAGAUCUGGUAGAAAUGCAUCUCUAGAGAUGCCUCUUGACCUGAGGCCUGCAGGUAUGCAUAUUUGCACGAGUGCAUAUUUGCUGCUGAGCAUACUUGCAUGAGUUGUUUCGGUUCUCCACUCAUACCUUCCAAGCUGCACAAUGAGACCUCUGCUGUUCAUACAAGUGUGCAGCUGGGUUAUGAGAGCAAAUCCAUUUCUGAUCCUUAGGGAGCUAAUGGCAAGGUGGGAGACCAAACAGAGACCCUAAGGAUUUCCAGGGCUAAAAUACUUGCUAAAGAAAUGCAACAUUUAUUUAUUUAAUUCUUAAAAGUGGGGUGGUGUGAGGGUGGAAACUGGAAACAGAAGGACUUUUUGAAACCAACUGAUCCACUCAAAUAGCAUGAGCUAAUAUUAGAUGUUGUUUGAGCAUAAUGUUUGUCACCUCAGGAAUGCUCUGGUCUGGGGAAGACACACACAACCACAUCUAACACUAGCCAAAACAACUACACUGAAAAUAGCUGGGACCGCAAUCAGUUUUAUAAGCUUUGCAGUCAUAUACUACAGUGAAAGUGGCCACUGACCCUCUUCAGACUGUCUCUGCAAAAAUUUAACUGUUACCAAGUCAACAUUUUGGACUGGGAAAAAAAAAAUUGCAUGGUAUUAGUAACUAAUAAUUGUAUAAAUAUUUAUAAAUAUGUAAAUAUUUAAAUUUAAUCUCUUAAUAACAACAGUUCCCAAACCACAUAUAUUUUCAUUUUUCAUAGAACAGGCCUAUAAACUUACCAUAUGCAAAUCCAUUUGUUGCUCUAGAUCUUGACAUCACAUCUCAUGCAUUUAGCUAAUUCUCUUGAAAGAGUCAAAAAAAAUUCUGUUUAGGUGCUCAGUUCACCCACUUCACAGGUGCUGUGGAAAAACUCAUAUAUGAGCUAUCCACAUGGUCACUUGCAGACACAUCUCUGGGGGACAGAACGCUGUAUAGUCAUGGCUGUUAUAGAGAACUGUUAUAGAGAACAUGGCUGUUAUAGAGAACAAUUUAUUAGAAAAGUAGAAUCUAUCCUGAAGAAUUAUUUUCUUCAUGACUUUGUCUUCACCUUUUCCUGUGUUCUACACUCCCCUUUUUUACUUCCCUCUUCCAUUUCCAGAAUGAUAUUUCCACAUGCCAGGAUUAAAACCACAUUAUUUAAUUUUCC